GCUCUGAUGGUCUAGUAGAAUGAUACGUGCUUUGGGCGUGCGAAAGUUUGCUGUGCACGGGGUCCCGGGUUCAAAUCCCGGUCAGGGUC